ensembl:lncRNA
AACCACUAACUAGUCAACAAGGUAUUCAAGGCUCUACCUCACUUAUCCCUGCACCAGGGAUGGCAAAUUGAUCUCAUCUCAUGAGGCACUCCUGAGGUCAGUUGAAAAGAUGUGGGCUGUGAUUGAUGAAUGCUGUCUCACUUGGGUGGAGGACUAGGAGCAGGAUACUGGUGCCAGGAGUCUGCCAAACUGCCUGGCAUCCUUACAUACUUCCUGCAAUCCAUAUGGAAGGCCACGCGCCACUUCCCUCUCCUCCUACUUGUGGUGCAGGAUACACGCAGAGACAUUUGCUUCUGCCUCUACCCUGGUGGCUCAGUGGUAAAGAAACUGCCUGCCAAUGAAGGAGACACAGGUUCAAUCCCUUGGUCUGGAAGAUCCCUUGGAAAAGGAAAUGGCAACCCACUACGGUAUUCUUGCCUGGGAAAUUCCAUGGAGAGAGGAGCCUGAGAGAAAGACAAGGAAAAUUAUGGAAAUAUAUAGAUUUUCCUUGGGCAAGGGGAGCUUUCUACAACAUGCCUAAGAAAAAGAAGACAGAAAAUUAAAACCAAGCGCCCAGGCAACAAGUUUCCUUUCUUUCAACAAAGCCUCAAGAAACUGAAGCUGGACAUGAUGCACAAAAUAGAAGAAAUUCAAAAGAAAAUGUAGCAGCUCUUGGGCAUGGGAGGGGCUCCCCUAUCCUGCUGCAAGGUUUGUAGAUUUAUAGUCAGAGCCACCCCAACUAGAAAAGUCCAGAUUGAGAAGACCCCUUUGUUCAACCUUUAUUUUUUGUACAGUUAUUGCCACCUCUUCUUAAUAUCUUCUGCUUCUGUUAGGUCCAUACUAUGUCUGUCCUUUAUCGAGCCCAUCUUUGCGUGAAAUGUUCCCUUGGUAUCUCUAAUUUUCUUGUACAGAUCUCUAGUCUUUCCCAUUCUGUUGUUUUCCUCUAUUUCUUUGCAUUGAUCGCUGAGGAAGGCUUUCUUAUCUCUUCUUGCUAUUCUUUGGAACUCUGCAUUCAGAUGCUUACAUCUUUCCUUUUCUCCUUUGCUUUUCGCUUCUCUUCUCUUCACAGCUAUUUGUAAGGCCUCCCCAGACAGCCAUUUUGCUUUUAUGCAUUUCUUUUCCAUCGGGAUGGUCUUGAUCCCUGUACGAUGUCACGAAUCUCCGUCCAUAGUUCAUCAGGCACUCUAUCAGAUCUAGUCCCUUAAAUCUAUUUCUCACUUCCACUGUAUAAUCAUAAGGGAUUUGAUUUAGGUCAUACCUGAAUGGUCUAGUGGUUUUCCCUACUUUCUUCAAUUUAAGUCUGAAUUUGACAAUAAGGAGUUCCUGAUCUGAGCCACAGUCAGCUCCUGCUCUUGUUUUUGCUGAGUGUAUAGAGGUUCUCCAUCUUUGGCUGCAAAGAAUAUAAUCAGUCUGAUUUUGGUUUUGACCAUCUGGUGAUGUCCAUGUGUAGAGUCUUCUCUUGUUUUGUUGGAACAAGAUAAUCAUGAUGGUGUGAUCACUCACCUAGAGCCAGACUUCCUGGAAUGUGAAGUCAACUGGGCCUUAGAAAGCAUCACUACGAACAAAGCUAGUGGAGGUGAUGGAAUUCCAGUUGAGCUAUUUCAAAUCCUGAAAGAUGAUGCUGUGAAAGUGCUACACUCAAUAUGCCAGCAAAUUUGGAAAACUCAGCAGUGGCCACAGGACUGGAAAAGGUCAGUUUUCAUUCCGAUCCCAAAGACAGGCAAUGCCAAAGAAUGCUCAAACUACCAAACAGUUGCACUCAUCUCACACACUAGUAAAGUAAUGCUCAAAAUUCUCCAAGCCAGGCUUCAGCAAUACAUGAACCGUGAACUUCCAGAUGUUCAAGCUGGUUUUAGAAAAGGCAGAGGAACCAAAGAUCAAAUUGCCAAUAUCCGGUGGAUCAUGGAAAAAGCAAGAGAGUUCCAGAAAAACAUCUAUGCUAUGCUAUGCUAUGCUAAGUCGCUUCAGUUGUGUCUGACUCUGUGCGACCCCAUAGACGGCAGCCCACCAGGCUCCCCCGUCCCUGGGAUUCUCCAGGCAAUAACACUGGAGUGGGU